rnacentral:tRNA from 1 species
GCGUUGGUGGUUUAGUGGUAAAAUUCAUCGUUGCCAUGUCGAACGUCCGUUCGGUUGUGAAUCUCGAUGAGCCCCGGGUUCGAUUCCCGGCCGACGCA